rnacentral:rRNA from 1 species
GACGAAGGUGGCGAGCGUUGUUCGGAAUCACUGGGCAUAAAGCGCACGUAGGCGGCGACGUAAGUUGGGUGUGAAAUCCCUCGGCCCAACCGAGGAACUGCGCCCAGUACUGCGUUGCUUGAGGAUCCAAGGGGUGCAUGGAAUUCCCGGUGGAGCGGUGAAAUGCGUUGAUAUCGGGAGGAACACCAGUGGCGAAGGCGGUUGCCUGGGGCUUUGCUGACGCUGAUGCGCGAAAGCGUGGGGAGCGAUCCGG